rnacentral:misc_RNA from 1 species
AAGAGCAUUAUAUUAAUGUUUUAAUAUUGAUCAAUUUUAUAUAUAUACGAAACGUAAAAGUUUUGUGCUGAAAUGGAGUCAAAUAUGUGAUAGAUGUAUAGCAAGUGUUUAGUAUAGUUUCAGACGGUAGCGACCAGUCUUCAGUAAAAUUUGAUUGUGAAUACUGCUUCAGAAGACUGGUGAACCCAUUAUUGCUGUACGAGGAAGCUGAUGACUAUGGAAACUUUGAGUAACAAAAGUGAUGUAUCUGAAGAUCUUCAACUUGAGCGCAGUAAGCCAGGUGCAUCCACAGGCGGAACUCCAUCUGUGGAACAUGAGGUAAACAACUGCAGUCAGAACCUCAACUCAACCAUGGAAGAAUCAGUGUGUGGUAGAACUGGAAUUGUUGCAGACAAUUCUUUUUCUCCAAAACCUGAGUCCAGUGCUGAAGAUUUGACGUCAUCAGAGAUGACGUUAAAUCAUUUGUCUCUGAAUGCAAAAUCCUUUGGCUGCAGUGAUGAGCAGGAAUCUUCUGAACCAUUAAACAGCAAAACUGACUCUGGUUCUGACAGUGCAGAAGACAAAGAGAACAAUGCUGCAGAGUUGGCAGAUAAGGAACCAUCACUGUAUGAUAAUCCCAUUUUUCGUGAAUUGUCCAGAAUUAAUGGGGAGAUAAACAAAUUAAGGAUUGACCAAUUAAAAUCGAGGCUUAGAGCCUUUGGACUUGAUACUUAUGGCAAGAAGACUGUCUUACAGAAGAGAUUGAAGACAUACUACAGGAAUAAAAAGUUUGGGGAAGAAAGCCUUGACAAUCCAGACAUUUUACAGAACCGGUACUAUGAGUACUAUGUGGUAAUAGACUUCGAGGCUACUUGUGAUGAAGCAGAUCCUCAUAAAUAUCGUCACGAGAUCAUCGAAUUUCCAGCCAUUCUGGUAAACACAAAGAAAUGUCAAAUCAUCAAGGAAUUUCACACAUAUGUUCAUCCGACUGUCAACCCAAAAUUGACCAACUUCUGCACAGAACUAACUGGAAUUACUCAGGAUAAAGUUAAUUUUGCACCCGUAUUUCCUGAGGUUCUACAAAAGUUUGAAGAGUGGCUAGAAGAGAAUAAACUCUUAACAAAACCUGAUAAGUUUGCUGUUGUAACUGAUGGGCCAUGGGACAUGGGAAGAUUUCUCUUCCAGCAGUGUCUGAUGUCAAAUGUGCCCUAUCCCUCCUGGGCAGUUAAGUGGAUUAACAUCAGGAAAAAUUACAGCAACUUCUACAGCACUAAAAAGAUGUGUUUGAAGGAGAUGUUGAAAAAUCUGGGGAUGAAAUUUGAGGGUCAGCCACAUUGUGGUCUGGAUGACUCUCGCAACAUUGCCCGCGUGGCAAUUAAACUACUGAAGGACGGAGCUAAUAUGAGAGUUAAUGAACGCAUUCAUCUGAGGAAAGAUGGCAAUUAUGAUCCAAGGUGACCUGAGGAGGUUGCGGGCGGAGUGAAGUAGUAGCUGUUUAACCGGCGUUGGAAGAUGUCCUGCCUGCCUUGUGGUCGACUAACGGAUCGUUACGUCGGGGAUGUGAUGCAUCGAUCCAGUACGUGCUAGAGGUUGUGGAAGGUCCUGGCAACAAUCCAACUUGAAAUGUUGAAAUCGGUUGCUGACUUAAACAAGAAAGGUGCUUAAUGUACACCAAAGUUAGAGGGCAAAAAACAUGGCUUGAGAAGUAGAACUUCAUCCGUCAGUUGGAAGUUGAUUCGUUGAAUUACAGAAUCAGGUUCUAAUGAAGAAGAGUGGUAUCAAAACUAAGGCUUCUGCUUUGCAAAAGGAAAUCUACAAAGCUGGUGAUUGUCCUUUACUCUGGAUUUGUCUUGGCCUUUGAAGUCUUCUGUGGUUGCCUCUAGGAACAUUGGUCCACCACAACCUGAAAUAUAUAGUACUUAAAUACUGUACUAUGUAUAACUUUCAAUAAAUCUUUUAAUGAAA